rnacentral:tRNA from 3 species
GGUGGGGUAGCCGAGUGUUUAGGCGGCGGGUUGUAGCCCUGAAGACAGAGGUUUAAGUCCUCUCCCCACCA